rnacentral:rRNA from 1 species
UACGUAGGGGGCUAGCGUUGUCCGGAUUUAUUGGGCGUAAAGGGCUCGUAGGCGGUCUGUCGCGUCGGGAGUGAAAACUCAGGGCUUAACCCUGAGCCUGCUUCCGAUACGGGCAGACUAGAGGUAUGCAGGGGAGAACGGAAUUCCUGGUGUAGCGGUGAAAUGCGCAGAUAUCAGGAGGAACACCAGUGGCGAAGGCGGUUCUCUGGGCAUUACCUGACGCUGAGGAGCGAAAGUGUGGGGAGCGAACAGG